GAUGAACGCUGGCGGCGUGCCUAAUACAUGCAAGUCGAGCGAACAGACGAGGAGCUUGCUCCUCUGACGUUAGCGGCGGACGGGUGAGUAACACGUGGAUAACCUACCUAUAAGACUGGGAUAACUUCGGGAAACCGGAGCUAAUACCGGAUAAUAUAUUGAACCGCAUGGUUCAAUAGUGAAAGACGGUUUUGCUGUCACUUAUAGAUGGAUCCGCGCCGCAUUAGCUAGUUGGUAAGGUAACGGCUUACCAAGGCAACGAUGCGUAGCCGACCUGAGAGGCUGAUCGCCCACACUGGAGCUGGGACACGGUCCAGACUCCUACGGGAGGCCGCAGUAGGGAAUCUUCCGCAAUGGGCGAAAGCCUGACGGAGCAACGCCGCGUGAGUGAUGAAGGUCUUCGGAUCGUAAAACUCUGUUAUUAGGGAAGAACAAAUGUGUAAGUAACUAUGCACGUCUUGACGGUACCUAAUCAGAAAGCCACGGCUAACUACGUG
rnacentral:rRNA from 1 species